AACAAACGCUGGCGGCGUGCCUAACACAUGCAAGUCGAACGCGAAAAUCGGCUUCGGCCGAUGAGUAAAGUGGCGCACGGGUGAGUAACGCGUGGAUAAUCUACCCUUCAGUUGGGAAUAACUUAUCGAAAGGUGAGCUAAUACCGAAUAAAACUGCCUGACCACGGUCGGGUAGUCAAAGAUAGCCUCUGCUUGCAAGCUUUCGCUGAAUGAUGAGUCCGCGUACCAUUAGCUAGUUGGUGGGGUAAUGGCCUACCAAGGCGACGAUGGUUAGCUGGUCUGAGAGGAUGAUCAGCCACACUGGAACUGAGACACGGUCCAGACUCCUACGGGAGGCAGCAGUGAGGAAUCUUGCGCAAUGGGGAAACCCUGACGCAGCAACGCCGCGUGAGUGAGGAAGGUCUUCGGAUCGUAAAGCUCUGUCGGGUGGAAAGAAUGUAUGGGGUUAAUAGCCUUCAUACUUGACGGUACCACCAAAGGAAGCACCGGCUAAC
rnacentral:rRNA from 1 species